rnacentral:misc_RNA from 1 species
GCCAAAUUUAGAGGAACUAUAUCUUGAUCGUCUGACUUAUCUAGAAAGCAUUUCAGAAUUAGUUGGUCAUCUCGGACUGAGAUUUUCUAGAUUGAAAAUAAUGGAAGUUGCAAGGUGUCCUCGGUUGACAGAUCUUCUCCCUUAUGGUAGUUUCAUUCUAGCCCUACCAAGCCUGGAAGAAAUCAAGGUAAGUUUCUGUGACAAGCUAGAAGAGUUAUUUAGGUAUUGCUCAGGACACAAUUCUACUCCAGAACCAGUUGUUCCAAGCCUACGAAUAAUGGAGUUGAAGAACC